rnacentral:lncRNA from 1 species
GUGCGCCACCGCACCUGACCCUCAAAUUGCAUUUCUAAGAACACUUAGGAGAUUAAAAUAAUUUAGACAUUACCUAUAGGACAUGGCCAAAACUACAACCAGAAAAAACCGGUAUUAAGUUUACCGAGAAAACAAUAACCUAAACACUCAGCCCCAAAAAGCAGAAAGGAGAAAUAGUGAAACACUAAGAGAGCAGGAAGAAGGCAGUGGCAAGACACACUCACAGGCUGAGCAUGGUGGACAUGCCUGUAAUCCCAUCAGCUCGGGAGGUUGAGGCAGGAGGAUCAUGAGUUAAAGCCAGCCUCAGCAACUUAGUGAGGCCCUAAGCAACUUAGUGAGACCCUGUCUCGCAUUGUGGAUGUGGCUCAGUAGUCAAGUGCUGCUGGGUUCAAUCCCUAGUACUAAAGGAUACACUCACAGAUUACAGACUAGAAACAAAAGAAAAGUAGUAGGCCUAGAAUUCUACAUGCCUGUCCUUCAAGUAAAAGGUAAAUAAGACAACCUGAGCCUUGUGGUCUGAACAGAGGUGAUAAAAUGCAUGUAGAGGCUGAGGCUCCUUUAGUUGAAGUGAUUACGACCAUGGGUUUCAGAUCUUGGAUUUGCUGGAUUUUGGAAUAUCUGCACGUACAUAGUGAGAUAUCUCUGGGAGAGACACAGGUCUAAACAUGAAACUCAUUUAUGUUUCACAUACACCUUAUACAGAUGCCUGAAUGUCACUUUAUACAAUAUUUUUAGUGCAUCUGUGUUUGACAAUGCGUCGUAAGGUCAGGUAUGAAUUUUCUACUUGUGGGGUCAGCACUUGGAAAGUUCUAGAUUUUGGAGCAUUUUGGAUUUCAGAUUUUCAGAUUAGGGCUUCACAAACUGCACUAAGUAGGAAGGAGAAAGUAGAUAGUCACAAGUAAGGCUUUAUGGUAAAAGAGUCCUAUGUUCAACUCCAAGCUAAUACCCAGAAAUUAUUUUAUAGGAAGAUGUUAACAAAAGUAGACACAAGAAAUGGAGAAAACCUGAAUCAUGAGGAAAAACUGUCAAAAC